UGAGGAAUAUUGGUCAAUGGACGAGAGUCUGAACCAGCCAAGUAGCGUGAAGGAUGACUGCCCUAUGGGUUGUAAACUUCUUUUAUACGGGAAUAAAGUGAGGCACGUGUGCCUUUUUGUAUGUACCGUAUGAAUAAGGAUCGGCUAACUCCGUGCC
rnacentral:rRNA from 1 species